rnacentral:lncRNA from 12 species
AUUUGGUGACCUGAGAGGCAAAAUUCCUUGAUAAGGUAUGAGGAGAUAAGAGUACAAAGAGUAAGCUUCAAAGACCUGAAGUUUUGUAACUGGUAACAUUUCUCCUGUAACUCCUACAUUCAUGUAACCAGGACAACAAGAACUGACCAGGGCUAGAACCUUACCAUCCAUGGGUGGUCUAUAAUACGUCAGACAUUCUAUUAGCCACUUUGUCUUUUGUUUUUAAUCCUUACAGUUUAGAGCUACGCAUAAUUGACUUAUUCAUGGGAUAGGACUUCAAUUUAAACCAGUUACAUCAAUAGUAGCAGGUGAGUAACACCAGCCAUGCUGCUCUAAAGAGUUUAGGCUGAUUCAAAGUAAAAAUUAUUAAGAUGGCAUAUGAAAAUAAGUUAAGAUAAAUCUAACUAAGAAAAUUA